GAUGAAGAACGUAGCGAAAUGCGAUACUUGGUGUGAAUUGCAGAAUCCCGUGAACCAUCGAGUCUUUGAACGCAAGUUGCGCCUCAAGCCAUUAGGUUGAGGGCACGUCUGCCUGGGCGUCACAUAUCGUUGCCUGAUGCCAGUUUCCUCGUGAUGGGUGACUGUGCAGGGCGAAUGAUGGCUUCCCGUGAGCAUUGUUGCCUCAUGGUUGGUUGAAAAUUGAGUCCUUGGUAGGGAGCGCCGUGAUAGAUGGUGGUGAGUGACGAACGAGACCCAAUCAUGUGAGACCCCUACCGAAUUUGGCCUUCAUGACCCACAUGCGUCUUUGGAACGCUCAUGACGAGACCUCAGGUCAGGCGGGGCUACCCGCUGAGUUUAAGCAUAUCAAUAAGCGGAGGA
rnacentral:misc_RNA from 1 species